AUACAGGGGAGAGAUCAUGAUCACCAAGGUGGUUUUCCCGGGGUGAGGAUCAUCCAUUGCACAGUGGGUGUGCUGACCCCUGUGAUUUCCCCAAAUGCGGGAAACUCAACUGCAUAAUUUGUGGCAGUGGGGGACUGCGUCGGUGCUUUCCCCUG
rnacentral:snRNA from 1 species